rnacentral:snRNA from 1 species
AAGUGUUAGAGCUCUUUUAGGAUUUGUCUAGCAUGAUUUCUGGCUCUAGCCAGAAGAUGCCU